GGACCCUCGUACCUACGGGACCGCCUCUCCUGGUAUGCCCCACAGAGAAACUUACGGUCUUCGAAUAAAAACAUCUUGAAGGUCCCAGGCCACAGAGAAGUUAGGCUGGCCUCAACUAGAGCCAGGGCUUUUUCGGCUGUGGCUCCGAUCUGGUGGAACACUCUGUCACAAGAGACCAGGGCCCUGCGGGACUUGACAUCUUUCCGCAGGGCCUGCAAGACAGAGCUGUUCCACCAGGCCUUUGGCCAGGGCACAGCCUGACUCCCUCCCUCGGCAAUCUUCGCGGAGCUCUGGCCCAAUAGUUGCCAGUGGCUUGAAUUAAUUAAUUUUAUAACGAAUGAUUUUAGACUGUUGUUUAUGCUGUACUUUUGUACUGUUUUAUUGUUGUUAGCCGCCCUGAGCCCGGCUUCGGCUGGGGAGGGCGGGAUAUAAAUAAAAUUUAUUAUUAUUAUUAUUAUUA